AUUUUUCAGAAUAUUUUGGUAAAAAUAGAAAAAUAAAAAAAUUAGUUUAAAACUAAUUUUUUAUAUAUAUAAAAGUCAUUUGUGGAAGCUAAUGUGUGCAUAUCUGGGUUGUACAUGUUCAUUAUGAUUCUCUGGAAUAACGAUGUCUACUCCUGUCACGUGGUUUUUUUUUUAUUUUAAGCAUAUAUAAUGGGGGGUAGAGGUAUUGGAGGCAGACUGAGGUGACGGCAGGUGUACGUCAUGGGCGUCCUGUGGGCUUAGUAGGCGUGCUGCGUGGGCUCUUAAUGGCAAGCAUGGCUUGUGUGUGGGGUGACUGUAUGCUGCUUAGGGCAUUUAUAUCGACCGGUUUAUACUCGUUUUGUGUGGAAACGACAGUGAUUUUGAGCUAGUGGUGAGUUCUAGAGCUCCUGUUACGGCUAACUCUAGGGACUACAUGCAUGGGACACGUAAGGCCAUGCACGACCAUGCAGUAUCUAUAGGCCGGUGAGGGCGGUGUUCGUGCAAGAACUUCAGUCUACCUCCAACACCUUUGAAGUGAUUAAAUUCUCACCCGACGGAGGCGCGCAACGAAGGGGAUUGGAUUAGCCUUGCAACGAAGGCAUCAGCGUCGAUACACGACAUUUAAUGUCGGGUGUCGGGGCGGUUGUUGGGAGUGCAUCGACGAAGACAUUUACGUACGGCGCAUAAGUGGUAUUCGAGUUGUGUGGUUAGGUUGGAUCCUUUCCUCAAGCAGUGACAACCUAAGUCGAAUUCCAUCUCGGUGGCGGAUCAAGCGCAAUCUAGGCUUGUUGGAUGUCGGUCUCCUUUGUUGCAUACCUUAUGCGUAGGCAUUACUCACGUGCAAUCGAUCGUCUUUUCCCCCCUCGCAUUCCCAGUGCGGGGUCAACCUAAAAGCCGCUCUCGCAUCCCAUGACUUGCUUACUUCAUCGUGUGAUGGCGUGGUCUGCGAGCGGCGGCUCGAAUUCUCGGGUUCGAUAGAUGUAGUGGGCAUGGGGCCUUCACCGUCUCCUAUCUCUGCAAAAUAAAUGCUCCUUACGAAUGAUGGUCACGCUCGCCUUGGACCUGACCAUGCCCGAACGGGCUCGCCAGGCUCAUGCGGCACGUGCGGUCAUUGGGGAAUGCUACUUGGUUGAUCCUGCUAAUAGUCAUAUGGUUGUCUCAAAGAUUAAGCCAUGCAUAUGUAAGUAUAAACAAAUUCAUACUGUGCAACUACGAAUGGCUCAUUUAAUAAGUUAUACUUUGUUUGAUGGUAUCUACUACUCGGAUAACCAUAGUAAUUCUAGAGCUAAUAUGUGCAAAAAACCAGGACAUGUGGCCGAAAAUGGAUGGGCACUUAAGCGCGCGACGUACACUUAGCCGUCAGGGUAAGUGCCAGACCCCGAUGAGUUGGAGGGAAUGGCGGUAGCUACAAAACCUUGGGCAUAAGCCUGUGCGGAGCAGCCGUUAAGUGUAGAUCUUUGUGGGAGUAGAAAAUAUUCAAAUGAGAACUUUGAAGGCCGAAAAGGGGAAAGGUUCAAUGUGAACGGCACCAGCACAUUGGUUAGUCAAUCCUAUGGGUCGGGGGAACCCCGAAAGAUAGCGCGUUUCGUGUGUACUCCGUAAGGGAAUGGAUUAAAAUUCCGGAACCGGAACGUGGAGGUUGACGACAACGUUAGGAAGUCGGCAAACGUUGGUGGGAGCUUCGGGAAGAGUUGUCUUUUCUGUUUAACAGCAUACCCACCAUGGAAUCGGCUUGCCGGAGGUAGAGUCCAGCGGCUGGAGGAGCACCUCACGUCACGUGGUAUCUAGUGCCCUCCCGGCGAUCCUUGAAAAUCCAGAGGACCUAAUGCCAUCGACACUCGGUCAUACUCAUAAAAGCAUCAGGUCUCCAAGGUGAACAACCUCUAGUUGUUGGAACAAUGUAGGCAAGGAAAGUCGGCAAAAUGAAUCCAUAACUUCGUGAAAAGAAAUAUGCUCGGAGUGUUUGGCAUGGGGGUCCUAGUACCAAACCCACUGGCUGUCGAUGAACUGCAUGAGCUGAUCCCGCGGAAAUAGUUGGUCGCCGUGUGCCGACCGGGGGACGGACUGGGAACGGUUCCUUCGGGGGCCUUCCCCGGGAGUCAAACAACCAAGUCAUAACUGUUACAAACAAGGGGAAUUUGACUAUUUAUUUAAAACAAAGCACUGUGAUGGUCCCAACGGAUGUUUACACAAUGUGAUUUUUGUCUAGUGCUAUGAAUGUCAAAGUGAAGAAAUUCAACCAUGCGGGGGUAAACGGUCGGAGUAACUAUGACUCUUUUAAGGUAGCCAAAUGCCUCUUCAUCUAAUUAAUGAUUCGUAUGAAUGUAUUAAUAAUAUUUCCACUGUCUCUGUCUAAUAUACAACGAAACCACAGCCAGGGGAACAUGAUUGGCAGAAUCAGCGGGGAAAAAAGACCCUUUUGAGCUUGAAUCUAGUCCGACCUUAUGAAAUUACUUGAGAGGUGUAGUAUAAGUGGUAGUCGAAAGGCGAAAGUGAAAUACCACUAAUUUUAACGUUAUUUUACUUAUUCCGUGAAUCGGAAGAGGGGGACUGCCCUCUUUUUGGACCCAAGACUCGAUUUGCGGGUCGAUCAGGGGGAAGACAUUGUCAAGUGGGGAGUUUGGCUGGGGUGGCACAUCUGUUAUAAGAUAACGCAGGUGUCCUAAGAUGAGCUCAAUGAAAAUAGAAAAAUCUUGUGGAUCAGAAGGACAAAAGCUCGUUUGAUUCUGAUUUCCAGUAAGAAUACGAACCGUGAAUGCGUGGCCUAACAAUCUUUUAGACCUUCAGAGUUCUAAGCUGGAGGUGUCAGAAAAGUUACUAGAAGGAUAACUAGCUUGUGGGAGCCAAGCUAUAUAGCGAAAUUUAUUUUUGAU
rnacentral:ncRNA from 1 species